rnacentral:rRNA from 1 species
AUUGAACGCUGGCGGCAGGCUUAACACAUGCAAGUCGAGCGAGCGGCGGACGGGUGAGUAAUGUCUGGGAAAAUGCCUGAUGGAGGGGGAUAACUACUGGAAACGGUAGCUAAUACCGCAUACAAGAAGAUGUGCCCAGAUGGGAUUAGAGAGUAGGUGGGGUAAUGGCUCCACUAGGCGACGAUCCCUAGCUGGUCUGAGAGGAUGACCAUCCACACUGGAACUGAGACACGGUCCAGACUCCUACUGGAGGAAGCAGUGGGGAAUAUUGCACAAUGGGCGCAAGCCUGAUGCAGCCAUGCCGCUUGUGUUAAGAAGUCCUUCGGGUUGUAAAGCACUUUCAUCGAGGAGGCGUUACUCGCAGAAGAAGCACCGGCUAACUCCGUGCCAGCAGCCGCGGUAAUAC